GCACUUACUUGGUUGUGCUCAGCCGUGAUCAAUUAGGCGGUUGUGCCUCUGUCUAGUCGACCAUUGCACUUUGGAACAUUAGGCGGGGUGGAUGUGCUCAGUCGAGCUGUCCAACAGCAUAUUUUUUUCGUGUCCUAAAGGGCGUUUUAUCUCGUCUUUAAU